GCCCGAGUGGCGGAAUGGCAGACGCACUAGACUUAAAAUCUGGCAUCCUUUUGGAUAUACGGGUUCGACUCCCGUCUCGGGUA
rnacentral:tRNA from 1 species